CCUACGGGUGGCAGCAGUCGAGAAUUAUUCACAAUGGGGGAAACCCUGAUGGUGCGACGCCGCGUGGGGGAAUGAAGGUCUUCGGAUUGUAAACCCCUGUCAUGUGGGAGCAAAUUAAAAAGAUCGUACCACAAGAGGAAGAGACGGCUAACUCUGUGCCAGCAGCCGCGGUAAUACAGAGGUCUCAAGCGUUGUUCGGAAUCACUGGGCGUAAAGCGUGCGUAGGCUGUUUCGUAAGUCGUGUGUGAAAGGCGCGGGCUCAACCCGCGGACGGCACAUGAUACUGCGAGACUAGAGUAAGGGAGGGGGAACCGGAAUUCUCGGUGUAGCAGUGAAAUGCGUAGAUAUCGAGAGGAACACUCGUGGCGAAGGCGGGUUCCUGGACAUUAACUGACGCUGAGGCACGAAGGCCAGGGGAGCGAAAGGGAUUAGAUACCCGUGUAGUC
rnacentral:rRNA from 1 species